rnacentral:rRNA from 1 species
GACGAACGCUGGCGGCGUGCUUAACACAUGCAAGUCGAACGGAAAGGCCCUGCUUUUGUGGGGUGCUCGAGUGGCGAACGGGUGAGUAACACGUGAGUAACCUGCCCUUGACUUUGGGAUAACUUCAGGAAACUGGGGCUAAUACCGGAUAGGAGCUCCUGCUGCAUGGUGGGGGUUGGAAAGUUUCGGCGGUUGGGGAUGGACUCGCGGCUUAUCAGCUUGUUGGUGGGGUAGUGGCUUACCAAGGCUUUGACGGGUAGCCGGCCUGAGAGGGUGACCGGCCACAUUGGGACUGAGAUACGGCCCAGACUCCUACGGGAGGCAGCAGUGGGGAAUAUUGCACAAUGGGCGGAAGCCUGAUGCAGCAACGCCGCGUGCGGGAUGACGGCCUUCGGGUUGUAAACCGCUUUCGCCUGUGACGAAGCGUGAGUGACGGUAAUGGGUAAAGAAGCACCGGCUAACUACGUGCCAGCAGCCGCGGUGAUACGUAGGGUGCGAGCGUUGUCCGGAUUUAUUGGGCGUAAAGGGCUCGUAGGUGGUUGAUCGCGUCGGAAGUGUAAUCUCGGGGCUUAACCCUGAGCGUGCUUUCGAUACGGGUUGACUUGAGGAAGGUAGGGGAGAAUGGAAUUCCUGGUGGAGCGGUGGAAUGCGCAGAUAUCAGGAGGAACACCAGUGGCGAAGGCGGUUCUCUGGGCCUUUCCUGACGCUGAGGAGCGAAAGCGUGGGGAGCGAACAGGCUUAGAUACCCUGGUAGUCCACGCUGUAAACGGUGGGUACUAGGUGUGGGGUCCAUUCCACGGGUUCCGUGCCGUAGCUAACGCUUUAAGUACCCCGCCUGGGGAGUACGGCCGCAAGGCUAAAACUCAAAGGAAUUGACGGGGCCCCGCACAAGCGGCGGAGCAUGCGGAUUAAUUCGAUGCAACGCGUAGAACCUUACCUGGGUUUGACAUGGAUCGGGAGUGCUCAGAGAUGGGUGUGCCUCUUUUGGGGUCGGUUCACAGGUGGUGCAUGGCUGUCGUCAGCUCGUGUCGUGAGAUGUUGGGUUAAGUCCCGCAACGAGCGCAACCCUUGUUCACUGUUGCCAGCACGUUAUGGUGGGGACUCAGUGGAGACCGCCGGGGUCAACUCGGAGGAAGGUGGGGAUGACGUCAAGUCAUCAUGCCCCUUAUGUCCAGGGCUUCACGCAUGCUACAAUGGCUGGUACAGGGAGUGGCGAGCCUGUGAGGGUGAGCGAAUCUCGGAAAGCCGGUCUCAGUUCGGAUUGGGGUCUGCAACUCGACCUCAUGAAGUCGGAGUCGCUAGUAAUCGCAGAUCAGCAACGCUGCGGUGAAUACGUUCCCGGGGCU